UAACCCACUUUGGACCAACAAGUGUCUCUGGUGACUUGCACAGGGGGGUAGAGAAGCUCUCUCAUAAACCCGUAGUGGAGGCCGUCAUCCUCGCUGCGGAUCCUGUCGGGAGAAACAUUG